CUACACAAACACACAUUGAUAAAAGGAUUAUUGAGUCACAAGAUGAAAAUAUAAUUUAGCUUCUUUACAAAUCAGUGUUAAUACCCAAACCAUGAAUAUACAGUGUACUUUUGAGCACCAGUUUUAUAAAGGAUAUUGCAGAAGUAGAAAAAGUACAAUAUUAGUAUAGAGGGUAGAAAACAUUAGUUAUGAAGAAAGGCUAGAAACCUGUUCAUUAGUAGGAAUAUACAACAG